UACUCGCUUCAACUUUAUUAUACUCCAAUUACAAGUUUCAUCGAAUCCAAUCCUUGGUCACAAUAACAGAAGUCUCGAUUGGUCUCGCCUCUGAACUUUCACGCAACUUGGUACAACAUCACAGAUUCGUACUAUUUCUCCACUAGCUUACGAACCAAUUCACCAAAACCUAACCUAACCGUAGCAUCAAUAAUCUUCCUUAUCUAAUAAUUUAACCCGAUAAAGAUGACUUGGAACUCGAUAUUCGUCGAACAAUGGGCCAGUCUCGAGCGAAAGUCGAUUAGACACGGUUGAUGAUCCCGAGUUAAUAGAAUAGAAAAGCAAGAAUCGAGGCUCGAUAAACGCGGCCCAGUUUUCCACACCGAUUAUUCGCAGCUAAUAUCGUUUCUGCCUCGAAACUAGUUUAAUUUCCGCCGAUGAUAAACUGGAUACGUGGCUGGUAUCAACCAACCUCGCAUUGUCGGUUUCCAGGAUAGAUAAAGCGUGAUCACAUGCACCGAAAAUGCGCUCGACCGCACGAACGAGUUCCAGUGGGGUCAGUAGAGAAUUUGUUUGAUUUGUUUCGUUGAUCUAAAGUGGUUGACUUUGAUGAUGAAGCGAACCGUGAGUUUGUUAGUGACAGUGUCGUUACUAUUUUGUUUUCGAAUGAUUUGUGAUAAAGUGUGUGUUAGAUACGCGUGUGAAAACAGAUUUGGAUGAAAUUUAUUUCAAAUGAUCAUUUAGAAAAGAAAAUUUUACAUGAAGGUUAUUUGAUAAAUAAUGUGUUUCAAUUGAGGUUAUGUUAUUUUGGUUAGUCGAAUUUGAGAUAAUAGGCAAACAUUUUUAUCAUAAAUUUAAAACAUUUGAAAUAUAUUAAAAAAUUCGUAUACUGAACGAUUAUAAAAUAAAAAAAAAAGGUUAUUUGUCUAUUUGUUUCGAGGAUACAGAAUUUUUUAAAGAAUAAAUUAACACCCCGAUAUUUGCACUCUAAAUUAGGAUCAUAAUCUCGAGAAUCUCUGCAUGAAGCAAAAAAAUAGUAAACAAUUGAAGGAAACUAGUUGUACAAUGAGAGAAAAUAAAAUACCUGACAUAAAACAAAAGCGAAAUUGCUUUUUGACAAAUCCACAUUGUACGAAUGCGGGGGAAAAAAGGAAGGGGAGAGGGGGAAAGGAAAUAAAAGAAAAGAACCGAGAACACGUUCAUAAAACGUCAUCCGUGAGAGGCAAGGCAGAAGAAGAAGAUAGAAACAAAAAGGAGGGCACUCGUGGCGACCACGAAAAACGAGGAACCACUUGUCAGCCCAGAAAACACGAACCUUCCCUAUGACCGUCUCGGCCAACGAGGAGAAAAUAGCUGAAAAAAGAGGAAAAUGUGGAAAACGCGUGUUGAAGAAUGGGACGUUUGUCCUCGAGGAAAGAGGAAAGGCUAAGAACAUCUUCGCAGGAAUACAAAAGUGCAUAUUAUUUUUUUGUAACCAGAGACAAGGAGGAACGAGAAACGAAGAAGAAGCUAGAAGAAAGUAAAAGGAAAAGAAAUAACUAGAAAAAAAGAGAGAGAAAGGGAGAAAAAGAUAAGAGGGGAAAAGUCAAGAUGGGAAGCAAGCCGCGUCAGCGCGCUUUUGUUAAAGAAUAACUUUCCUCUCGUUGCGAUUUUUGCACAGCGAUCGUCCAACCAGCAAUGAUUGAUGCGCUGAGAAAAGUGGAAAAAGAGAGUAUCGAAGGAAAAACCGGAUCGAUUCGAGUCAAGCGAUCUAUUCUAAAUUUCCUGUUUGCCGGUACGUGAUUCAUUUUGGUAUCUAUAUAAUAUUAAAAUCCGAUACAAAGUUAUGGAAAAGAUAGCCGAACGACUAAUUAAACCAUACAAUAUCCUUCACCUUCGUCACGAUAGGGAAAAGCAUAAUUUUUCAAAGAAAAAACAAAGGAAACGUAGGGGAAAGAGAGGAGGCAUCAUUGAGAAAGUUGAUUACGCCCCUAAUAAUUUGCGUCUCCACGUCUAAAGAGAGGAACAAAGGAGUUGCAGGGAAACAGACGGUCCGUUCUGUUGCUCCUGCGUUCCUUCUACAGGAAACACAGUCGCUCUGACGUUACAUAAUUUCCAAUUAGUCGACUGGGAGCAGGCGGAGGAUACAGAAUCUAUGAAGCAAAUGAAACGUGAAAGAAGAAUGGAUAAUGAUGUCUCCGUUAAAUAGGAAUUUUGGGAUUGAAACAUGAACAUACAUGUGUGUGUUGUCGCUCUCUGUGUUAGUCGACAAACAAAAUAACCACGUCUCAUGGUCGAAAGCGAGCGGAAACAGAAUGGUUGCCACGAGUUGAUCGGUGAAGUGUAACGCGGAUCCAUAAGUCAUGAGAUGAAGCACGUUCAAACGACCCUCGACAAACUGAACGAGCGUUGACACGAUGUAAAAGACGCGAGAACACGAGUAUUUACCCAUGUUCAACCUUUGCUCUUUUUCUAAUUUCUUCUGUGUUUAUUUCUUUAAAAUUCCUGAAUCAUUUACUUACAAAUCAAUUAUAGAUAUAUUCUUGGUUUUUGAAUUUUUUCUUUUUAAUUUAUAUUAAUUAUUUAAAAAAAAUAGAUACUCCAUUAUAUUUCAAUUUAAAAUUUAAUAAUAGUUCUGCCUUUUUUUUUAAUUGUCUGUCUUCUAGUUAAAAUAUUUUUUUCCUUUUUUUUAUUUCAUUCGAGAGAUUUGUUAUUCUCCUUUUACGUAAUCAAAUAGCCAGAAACAAACUCGUAUUGCGACUUUUAUUUCGUUCUCUAUUACGCCAUACGGGGAAUUGAAAAAAAAGAAAAAAUAGAAUGAAACUGUUUCAAUAAAAAUUAUGAAACACAAGGAUAAUUAACGAAUUGUAAAUGAAGUAAGAAAUAAAGAAAAAAAUUUUAGAGAAACAUACAAUAUACAAUAUUAUAUAUAUAAUAUAAAAUAAAAUCGUUCUUCAUUUAACUAAUUAUUAUUCUUUUC